GGGACGUGAAAGUGGAGGGAAGGGAGUGGAGGAAAGGCCACACACAAUCUUAAAUUCAAUAUUUCACUCCCAUUAAAGAUAAGCUGUUUAUAAGCUUCAGUGUAGGGCACAUAAUUCUAUGUAAAAACUCUGUGGUUCCUCUUCCCAAACAUAAAUCAUGAUCAUUCCACACCCCGCUCUCUGGGAGUCCUCAAGGCAAAGAGACAAGACUCGAGGUAUAGUAAUAAAAAUCUGGGUAUUAUAAAAUCCACCCUGAGCUCCAAGAAGAAAAGAAUAACAAGAAGAGAGCUCUGAAAAGUACUUAUUUACCCAGGCACAUUUCAGUAUUAUAAAAUUUUAUUAACAUCCUCAGGAACCCAAACGCCCACCUUGAUACCUAUGGGAGAUUUUUUUUUACUCAAUUAUGAAUAUACGUGCUUUAAGGAUGAGCUAUGAAGUCUUUUUAGACUAAAUGCCUUGAUAAAAUAAUGAAUAUUAAAUACGUCUCCGAGCCACAAAAAGGACUGAUCACAAGACAGUGUCUGUAGUAGCUGAGGAGUGCCCCCUACAGUCGAACGUGCACAACGCAAGCAGAUGACCAGGAAAGAACAGAGCCGCAGUGUUUGAGGAUUCUCAGUAAGGCGGCAGUGAAAGAAAG
rnacentral:lncRNA from 1 species